rnacentral:rRNA from 1 species
UACGUAGGUCCCGAGCGUUGUCCGGAUUUAUUGGGCGUAAAGCGAGCGCAGGUGGUUUAUUAAGUCUGGUGUAAAAGGCAGUGGCUCAACCAUUGUAUGCAUUGGAAACUGGUAGACUUGAGUGCAGGAGAGGAGAGUGGAAUUCCAUGUGUAGCGGUGAAAUGCAUAGAUAUAUGGAGGAACACCGGUGGCGAAAGCGGCUCUCUGGCCUGUAACUGACACUGAGGCUCGAAAGCGUGGGGAGCAAACAGG